rnacentral:tRNA from 1 species
GCCGGCAUAGCUCAGUUGGAAGAGCAACUGACUUGUAAUCAGUGGGUCGAGGGUUCGACUCCUUCUGCCGGCA